CCAAAUAAGUCCUCAUUAAUUAUUCAUACACUAUUUUACAGAAAUAGUGAGGACAGCUAAAACAUCUUCCUAGAACCAUCACUCCAUACCCCGACUCGAUCCUGCUAUGUUCUCACCUCCUGAGAAGAAAAAUGGAACAAAAAGGAAAAGGGUGAGCUCAACUAGCCCAGUAAAGAAUAUUAUGACUAAGAUAAUAUACAACAAAUUAUCGUUAGUCUUCAACAGGGAAAAAUCUAAUAGAAUACAAUAGACAACAAGUUUUAGAUCAACAAAUGCAGCGGAAACAGCAAUCCAUUAGAAGAGUCACGUAGAGAAAGAAUUCUACUGUCUUCUAAGGUUUAAAAGUCCAUCAUCAAUAGUUUAUCCCUGUAAUAACAAUCAAUAUACAUCUUUAAUCAUCUUUGCACUACAGGCCAAAGAUAUUCAUUUGUAUCACCAGUUGGUCAUGUUCAUCUCAACACCUGUUCAUCUUUGCACUACAGGCCAAAGAUAUUCAUCAGUUAAUCGUUCAUCUUUGCACUACAGGCCAAAGAUAUUCAUUUAUAUCACCAUUUAGGACUGAGGAUGAUGAAAAACAUUUUUAAAGAAACGAAUCCAGUGAAACAAAAUGACAAGGAUUAAGGAUUAAGGAUUCGUACUUUGUUUUACCCAUGUCCAAAAAUACUUCGAAAAUAAUCAUAUUGGUGUAAAAUUCAAGAAUGAUCAAAACAUGGAUACAAUCAAAGCUAGUAUCCAGAAUAGAUAUUUUGGACAAAAAGAAAAAUUUUUAUUUUUCGGUGAAUAGUGCCGUAUUCGUGAAUAGUGUCGUAUACGUGAAUAGUGCCGUAUACGUGAAUAGUAACCCCGACACAACAAGUUCCAAAUUUGAUAAAAAAGUUCACCAAUACUUCGGCAUAAUGAUAUUGAAGAAAAAAUAUCAUUUAAGAAGAAAAUAAUACCCCUUACCUCAAAAUAACCGUACUUCUGACUGAAUUUCGGUAUAGUGCUGACAGAAACCCGCACCGUAUAGCAACACUCAAAGUAUACUCACAAGAAUACGCUCGAUAAUUUAGAGAGAGAAAGAGAGAAAACUUAGUUUCUGGUGUGAUUUUCAAUUCUAACUUAGCCCUCUAUUUAUAGGAAAAUGUUAGAACGCCAAAGGAGACUAAAUUAAUAAAUUAUUAUUAUUUAAAAUUACAUUUCUACGCAUGCCAUUUGAACACUUCAGCCACCAGCCAACCUUGACCCAAUUUCCAGCAGCCCACAUGUUCAAACAAGAGUGGGUCCCACCCAUUAUUUAAUAAAAAUUAUUUUAUCUUCCGAAACUUCAAUAAUUCGUAGAAAAUAGCUCGUUUAUCAGAAAAAUUCGAAACUCGCGACUUUCCAUGGGAAAUUCCAUUCUCUACAACUUUGCAGAAGAAAAUUUUUCCAAAUUCCAAACAGAAAUUGACCGAAAUCCAUAAACGGGCGAUUUUACAGUCUAUAAUCAAUUUUCGGUCAAGAAUUGUGUCCACCGACACACAAAACAUAUGUUAAACAUUUAAUGCCACAAAAUACUCUACCUCCUCAUAUACUCAUAUAUCCCACAUUCAUUAUAAAAAUAUCACCGUUAAUAUAUUAUUAAAAUAAUAUAUUUAAAUGAAUUAUUUUAUCAGAAAAAGAUAAAAUAUUAAUUUUCAACAAUUGUCACAUUAAAAAUUUUCUCCAUCUAUAUCCACAUAAAAUAAAUAUUUUCUUUAUCAUAAUAAUCAAUAAUUAAUUAUUUAAAAAUAAUAUUACAGAAUCACAGUACUGACAACCAGGCCGUUCCCAGGAAAGAGGGGGCUUUCCAAUAAGGAUUUCUCCUUACUGGCGCGCAAUUAGGUGACCAAACCUCUCCUUAGACAGAACUUUCUAGACAUUGCCAAUAAUGUUAUCUGAUAAUAUUAUUCAAAUAAUAUGAAUUAUUGAUUUGAUAAUGGAAAAUACUGUGUAAUGACAAUUAUUGAAACAACAGCAAUACAAAAUAUCAACGCAGCAAUUAUUGAAUCAAUAAAAUAUAAUAUUGAACAGUAACUACUGUAACAAUUAUUGAGUAGUGCCUUCUUACGUAAGGAUCAAUAAUUCAAUAAUACUGUGCAAUACCGUGUGCUACUGUGCAACCACGCGUAUUACUGUAUUUUAACCACCAGGUAACCCAACAGUGUUAACGGUAACAAUUUACGUCGUUAUUUAUAAAACUCAAUCUUUGUCGUUUUCCUUCAUCCAACCGUUUUCCGUUAUGGGGCCCACCAAUGACUGCGCCGUCGUACGGAGAUUCCCGACAAAAAGAAUAUUCCACGACCAAACGAAUAUUCCCCGACAAUAAUGAAUAUUUUAUAACCACUUGCUUAUUUUGUAAACUUUGCACAUUUCACCCAUAACCAAAGAAUUAUAUCAAAUUAACCCUUAUUAAUUUAGAAUAAUGAAUAAAUGAAAAUUCAAUUUUAUUUAUAAUAAGUUGGGGUCUUACAUAAGUAAUCAUAAUAAUGUUUACAAAUUGCUAUAAAUAUUUAUAAUUAAAACUAAAAAAGGAAUUUCAAAUAAUAAACAUUGGGAUACAAUUUAGAAACUUAUUUCGAUUACUUGUCAUUGUUCAAUUUGAAUGAUUCUCCAAAUGCUUAAAGUCUCAAAUCAAAUUUGCUUUCUAUAUUUAAACAAAACCAUGAAUUAAUUUCAAAGCAUAAACUAGUUUUGUACUUCUAAGAUUUCACCAAAUCUUAAAACUAAGAAGAUUUUUGUACUUAUAUUUAGAAUUGGUUUAUGAAUUUUUUUUUGCCCCCUCCAAGUUAAACUCUUCCAUUAUGUUCCCUUAAAUUUAUUAAUUUACAUAUCUAUCAUGCCCCUAUACAUAUAAAAAAAAAUAUUCGAGUAGUAACAACUGCCUAUGUUACCUCUCGUAUAUAGAUCUGCCCCUGAUUAUAUAUAUAUAUAUAUAUAUAUAUAUAUAUAUAUAUGUGUGUGUGUGUGUGUGUGUGUGUGUGUAUAUAUAUAUAUAUAUAUAUAUUAAACACAUGUAUUAUUUAUAUAUAUGUGUUAAUCAAAAACAUUUAACACAUAUAAUACUUUAUUAUUUAACACAUAAAUGGAGUAUUAUUGAACUCAAAAUAUUAUUGACAAUAAUACUUUAUUUGUCUCGAAACACUUGUAGAUUAUUAUUGAUUUUUUAAAUGUUAUUUUCAAAUAUUAUUAAACUCAAAAUAAAUAUAAAUUCGUUGAAGUUUUAGUCAAUUUUACUGAUAAAUAUUAUAAAUUACCUAAAAAUUAUUAUUAAACAUAAAAUAUAUUAUUAUAAUUUUGAAUAAUUUAUAUAAAAUUUAAAUUAAAAAAUAUGUCAAAUUAAUUCUAAAAAACAAAAAAUAAUUUAUAUUUUUAUACAAAGAGAGUAUAUUGCUUUUGUCUCAAAUUAGUACACAGCCGGUUUAGCUCAUGCAUAUUACAUUUGACCGCCCUGCGCAUCGCGUACACAAGACACUAACAUACAUGUUUGGAACCCAACUUGAUUCAAAAGUUUAAGCCAUUAGGUCUUGGGCCCAUUCAUAUAUAUAUAUAUAUAUAUAUAUAUAUAUAUAUAUUAAUCCUUCACUCUUUUAUUAUUUAUCCGAUGUGGGACUCCAACUCACUUGUGAUAUCCUAACAAUCUGCCCCUCACAAGUGAGUUUAUCACAUCAAGAGCUCUCAGUCACUUAAACACACUUCGCUUCAAUCACCACACACCAAUUCUUGGUUAACUAUUCUGGGUCCUUCUCCAUCGAGAGUCAACUUCCAUCAAGAAUUGAACAUAUUCUCUUCAAUCACCGCGAAUCAUCAAUUCUCGGAACCAAAUUCUUGGCUAACCCAUCAAGAAUUCAACAUCACUGUCGAGAGUGCCUUAAGGAAAACACUAACACCUUUCAUCGAGAAUUCACCACUAUCGCUUGUCUUUUGAACCUUCGAGAAUUCCCUACUAUCGCCUCUCUUUUUUGAAGAAAGGUUGUCCAUGAUUUUUUUUUAAUUUCUGAACUACCAUUGCGUGUCUUUCGAAGAGGUUGACCAGUUCGGGAUCAAAAUUUCGUAGUUCUGAUACACAACCGGGGAACCGGGGAGCCCGACUAUCGCGCGUGUGCGUACACAAGGCACUAACAUACAUGUUUGGAACCCAACUUGAUGCAGCGUACACCUGUGUAGACUAGCCCAAUAAGCAUGCUGGAUCACCUUCUUACCUAAAAGGUUAACCUAUUAGGUUGAGGCUCCACCAUACUUAUUAACCCACCUAUACUCUUGAUUUUAUCUAUGUAGAAUUCAUGUGAAAUACUCUAACAAUCUCCACCUUUCACUUAAAUAUCUAUCACAAAUAUCAUACUAGAGUAGUCACCAUUAAGCACACCUUCUUUGAGUCCUUCAAGAGCUCUACUUGACUCUAAUAUUACUCCACCACACUCGAGGCAAACGUGGGAGUACAACUUUACUCCUUGUGAACCCUUCACCCUGAGCAGCUUUCCCAGAGUCAGGACCUAAGCCCGCUCCACCCGACUCAAAUCAUACUUCAUUGUGUGGUGCCUAACUCAACUCUAUUUGAUCUACCGCGCGUCCGAGACAAACGUGAGAGCACAACCUUUCUCCUUAUAAACCUUUCACUCUGAGCAACUUUGCCAAAGUCAUUUUAAACUCCGUUCCACCCGACUCAAAUCGUUCCAUCCGAGUUGUUUCAAUAUUUAUAAAGAAUAAUAUCCCAAAGGUUUCAUUUUUGUAAAAACCAAGUAAUAUACUACUAUAUUGCUACAAAUUAAUCAUUCAAUCUGAAUAAAAAACAAUACAAUAAUCCCGUUAUUUGUUGGAGGAUGUCUGAUGGGCCUUUAAUUUCUUUCAACUUUUUAAAACGAAUAAGGCCCGGGACCAUUCACCCACGAACCGACGUCGUAUGUUUUAAAUAGGGGGAAAGAAUGAGAAAAGCAUGAACUCAUGCCCUAAACCCUAACCCCUUCCCCAAACCAAACCCCCCAUUUUUCCCCUUCCCAUCUCUCAUUCUCUGAAAGCACAUCGUCUCAACUCUGCAGUAAGGUAUACAGAUCUCUCACUUUCGCGCGGUAGUGUUUAUAAUUAUGUAUAAUGAUUUCUUCACUUUCGAAAUUUUAGUCUAUCAGAUGCAGGUGACAAUUUUCGGUUGAAAUGAAACUCGUUCUUUUUCUGAUCAUUAAAUACUAAAUUCUUAGAUAUAUGUUCUUAUGGAUCUAAUUGCGAUUUUCAUCCUAUAAAAUUAGUAAAUGUUUCUUCAGUCUAUGGGUUUUAGGUGUUUUGAGUUUAAUCUUAAGAUGCAUUGCUUGAUCAUUAUAGUUUUUAGCUGAGUUUAUUCUUUAUUUAUUUUUUGUUUUAUAUGUUAUAUCAAUCUAGAAUGUUCAUGAUUCGAUUGUGCACAUCCAAUGUGGCCAUAACUUGCUUCUAUUGAUGCUUUAUUAGUUAUAUAUACAACAUUGUUACCCCUAUUUCUAGUUAAUACUGAGGCGGAGUAGAACUAUUUUGCUUUAAUAGCCAUUAAGAUGUGUUUAUGACUUUAUUCCAGUGUUUUAAGCUCCGACUCUGUUUGGCAUCAUGAAUUUAUUCCGUGGUUUUAAGCUAAAAUUGAAUUGUUAUGUAAUGGUAUUAUGUUAUUGUUAUGUUUGGUAUUAUGUUAUGUUGUCCUUGAAGCAUUUUUUUCUUAUUGAAUUAUAGCUAUAUUAACUGUCUAUAUUUUUCGUUAUUAUAUCCUGUCUAGUGCUUAUCUUGUUUCUUUUCUUGUAUAGAUUUACACUUGUUAAUAAUUUUUCUUUUUAAGGACAAUAAUGUAUUACUUUCUAACCACUACCGAUUAGGAAAAUGAACUUCAAAAAUGUCAAAGUCCCCAACAUGCCGGGUGGUGGUGCUGGUUCUGCUUUAAUCAAGUUCGGAGCUAUUGCUGGCCUAGGCUUGUAUGGAGUUGCUAAUAGUCUCUACAAUGUUGAUGGAGGGCAUCGGGCCAUUGUAUUUAAUCGUCUAGUUGGUGUUAAAGACAAGGUUCCUUUCUCUUAAUAUACCGUAGAAUAUUGGAUUAUUUGGAUUAACUUGCUCCUCUGGGAUAGCUUCUGUAUUCAACUCUCUUAUUUAUUGUGUCACUAUUACCAUUUCUUCGUGGUAUUAGUUUUAAGGUUUUUUUUUAUUUCUUUUCAAUUUGCAAUACCAUUUACUUACAUGUUGAACAAUAGGUUUAUCCUGAAGGAACACACUUGAUGAUCCCAUGGUUUGAAAGGCCGAUUAUCUAUGAUGUUCGUGCACGUCCCCAUCUAGUCGAAAGCACUUCUGGUAGCCGGGAUCUCCAGAUGGUAAAUACUUGAAAAAUGCUAUUUUCUUGAUCAUUUUUACCUAGAAUCUUGAAGUUGUUUUCUAUACCAUAUUUACAUAAAUGCAUACUUGAUACUUGUAAGGGAUUUUUUUUUCUUUUUCUAGAUCAUAAAUUUAUGUUACACUUCUACAGACUAUCAAUUUGUUUCCGUUUUGGAGUGGCUCUGGAUUGCCUCAGCAUAUUUGGUAGAUUAUGACUUACCACUAUCAUUAGACAUUAGUAGUAGUAGUUCAAGCCUCAAGGAAAAGUAAGUUGAAGGCUGCUAAUACAAUGCAGAAGUGCAUGAAUAAGAAUUCUAAUUGGGUUAGCUUUGUUCUUAGAUUGUCUUGAAUAUUUCGUGAUUGUGUUAAUUGAUGCACACCUCUUUUGGUUGUUAGACCUUCCAAAUUAAUUGUUUUCAUCUUUUGAGUUGGUGUCCCCACACACAACCCAGUACCCCACGUUUUUAAAAUUUAUUUUGCACACUAUCCUCAAGUUUUUCAGUAAUCUCCCUCUCUAUUUGCGUGCUUGCUUGCUUGUGCACUUGUGGUUAUUUUUCCUCAAGUAUGUGACCAACCCAAUCAACUGUCGAAUAUUUUAUACAAAUAACGUGUCAGUUUUGAGUAAUCAAUGCGUUUUUGUCAUUCCAAAGAAAUGGAAUUGACAACACCAGACAUACAUACAUAUGUAUGUAUUUAUUGUUUUAUAAGUUGCAGGACUGGCUUUAAAAAUAAAAACAAUUAAAUCUUGCAAUAAGGAUGCAGUAAUCUCUAGCAAUCAGCAUGUCUGCGACAUGUGAAUUAUGAGAAGGACCAGGAUUUGUCCAUCCUCUUAUAUAUUGGUAAGCUGCAAGAUCCUUUAAAUGGUACAAUAUGAUGUCUGAUGUUACUUUCUCAUGUAAAGCUUUGUGCUGCACUUGGAUCUAGGCUUAGUGUAUAAAUCGGAUAAUGAUGGUGUUUCACAUUCUUCGCUUUUUCUUGGCUUUGAUAUGAAAGGAAGACAAAAAUUUCCGAGGGCAAAGUUGAAAUUAAGUCUAUGAGUUAGAGAUAUCUCUAAAUUUAACCAGUUAAGGCAUAGGUGUGACUUCUUAAUGUGUUUAGAUCUUGGCAUCUGGUUCUAUCUGACUUAAUAUAACACAUUGUAAUCCUUGUCUGCCUAUUUUAGUUCUAGAGUGUAUGCACUUAUUUCCUAGCAUGAAGUAGUCCAGAAACGACAUAUAUUCUGUAUCUCAUAAUAUCACUGUUUUCUAUAAAUUGAUCUUUUUUCUUGAUCGCGAAGUUCAGGUGAGAAAUGAUUUUACUCAAUAUUGUGCUGUGGGCCAAACUAAUUCUUAACCUUUUAAGCAUACUUUGAGUCACUACAAUAUAAUAAAGAUCUCUUUUGUUAGAAAUUUUAGUCUGCAAUACUACUUGAACAAUAAAAUAUCUUCUCACCAAGUACUCUUAAUUAUAAUUAUUAUUUUAUUUUUUUGCGGAGGGGGUCGGGCCUUACCCUAGUAGUCUCGUAUGUUUAUUAAAUUUUAAUAAAUUUGUGGUGAUAAACAUCAAUCCAUAAAUUGAAUAUCCUACUGCUAUAGGCUGGCCUCUCUGUUUAUAGUUGUAUUGGACUGUAAUGCCUAUACCACUAUUGUUUAGCUUGUUCUUUGUCCGGCUUUGAUUGUUUGAUUGGUGUUUGUUUUAUUUGCAAGUUUAUUCUGGAACUUGGAAGUAUUAAAUAAUGUAGACACUGUCAAAUGUUACAGACAAAUAAAUCACUUGUAACUUUCUAAUAAUCUUUGGUAUUCCACAUGCUCGCUGAAAAUUUCUUGUGGAGUUGUACUCACGUUUCAAAUGAAUCUAAGGAUGAUAUUUACUUCGAAUUCGAAGCCAAGGAGUUCAUAUUCAAACAUAUUCUAGUUUCUUUUCUUUGAAUCAUGAGCAAUAAAAUGUGUUGUUUCUUGUUUUAUUAUGCUUUAUCGUCAUGUAACCAUUAAGCAAAUAUUAAAGUUGCUGAUAUAAAAUUAUUUCCUCUAAAUUUUGAAUUUCUUAAAGAACUAGAUAAUGGUUUGCUAUUCCUCUCCCCAUCCCAACCCUAUAUGUAUAUACCAAUUACUGUGAUCCUCUCAAAUUCAAAAAAUACGCCGCUUGUUUUGUUAGCACCCAUCUGACAAAUUUACGCCAUUACUUUUUGUAGUAUCUGAAACAUUGUGUUUGAUAAAUGUUACUGAUCCAGUGUUUGAUGUCCACUUUCCACGAUCUCUUUAAGGAGUUGGGAUUAUUGAUCUCUUGUUUGCUGCAUCAAUUUUAGGCUGCACUACAUUAAGUCACUUUCUAUUACUGAAUUCAUCUACUAAUAGAAGACACUUUUAAAUGUGCUCAUUUGUUCAAAUGGAUUCUUUCUUCUGUUGCAUGCCUUAGACAGAGAUGCAGCUGGCAAACAUCAUAUUUGUUCAGUUUGUUUGUUAUGAUUUUAGUUGUACCGUUACAGAUGGUGUUAGUAUCAUUAUUCUUUGGAUGUGGUUUUACUUUGUUUUGCAGGUAAAAAUUGGUCUUCGAGUUCUUACUCGUCCUGUGGCAAGCCGAUUACCAACAGUUUACCGAACUCUUGGUGAGAACUAUAAUGAAAGAGUCCUGCCUUCAAUUAUUCAUGAAACUUUGAAAGCUGUGGUUGCCCAGUAUAAUGCCAGCCAGCUGAUAACUCAAAGAGAGGUAUGUUUUCUUUCUAUAUGAUAGUUUACAUUAUUGAUUACUCAUAAUAUCUUAAUAUGUUUCUGGCACGGUUUGAAAUCUAUACAUACUGAAAGAAAAUGAAAAAUUAAUAUGGGCGGAGGGAGGAUCUCUUACUCAGAUUUCUUGGUAGAAGAUUAGUUUCAUAUGGUGAGAGAACUGAACUUCAGUCGGCUUCCGAUAAUUAAUUUACUUAAAAUCACUAUUCUUUUAGUAAAAUUCAUUAUAAAACUGAUGGGCCUAGGUAAAGCCAAACCUAAGCAAAAAAAUACAUAAGUUGCAAUACAAGGCUUAUCAGUUUUAUAAUGAAUUUGACUACAUGAGAUUGCAACUUAUGUAUUUUUUUGCAUAGGUUUGGCUUUACCUAGGCUCAUCUAAGCUAUUUUGUUUAUGUUUUAUCCUUUAUCAAAGCCACUCUAACCUUCUCACACUUAAUUUAGUUCUCAGUUCAUCUGUAUUCCUUUUCUAUCUCCCCCGUCUUUCUCUACUAAUUAAAUUUCGUUUCUCUCUUCAUCCUGCUCUCUAUGCAAAUUAAAAAUUAUGUACCCUCAUUAUUUUUCUAUGGUCUCUCUGUGAAGGCAAUAUCAAAAGGUCACUUGAGUUUCCCAAAGGUUUUAGAAAUUUUUAAAGCAUUAAAUUGAACAUAUUACGUAAUUCUCAUACAAAGACAAAGAACAUAGGUGACAGACAUGUACGGUCUUCAUUUGUUUAGAAGUAGAUAUAUAUGUUAGUUUUUAUCUGAUCAAUGGCUAUAUUAGGUAACUUAAACCUUAAUAUGUUUUUGGUCUCCCCCAAUUAUUAACUAAACCUUAUAAGAGGGUCAACUGUAUCAUCAUAGUGUUGCUAUGCAGAUUACUGUAAUUGCCUCGUUAAUUCAAAUAUAGAAUCCCUUCUAAGGUAUGAUUUCUGUUAUAAGUGCCUCAUUCCUUGAUAGCAAUUUGGUUCUCUUUACUUUAAGUUUAUGGACAACCUAUCAAAUUUUUUUAUGAGCUUAAGUAUAUAAUAAUUAAGUUGAUGUUAAAAUACUUGUAAUUGAGUUUCUUGGAAUUUACCUAUUUGUGUAGGCGGUCAGUAGGGAAAUACGGAAAAUUCUGACAGAGAGGGCAGCUAAUUUCAACAUUGCACUGGAUGAUGUAUCCAUUACAAGCCUGACUUUUGGGAGGGAG
rnacentral:lncRNA from 1 species